rfam:Myotis lucifugus cont2.32165, whole genome shotgun sequence.
AGGCCUGAAGAGAGAAGCAGAGUCUGAUCCAUAGUCUCUGUGGCAGCUGUUGAUCAGCACUUGCUUCUCUCUUUCUCUCCA